CCUACGGGAGGCAGCAGUGAGGAAUAUUGGUCAAUGGGCGCAAGCCUGAACCAGCCAAGUCGCGUGAGGGAUGACGGUCCUAUGGAUUGUAAACCUCUUUUGUCGGGGAGCAAGGCCCGCCACGUGUGGCGGGAAGGAGAGUACCCGAAGAAAAAGCAUCGGCUAACUCCGUGCCAGCAGCCGCGGUAAUACGGAGGAUGCGAGCGUUAUCCGGAUUUAUUGGGUUUAAAGGGUGCGUAGGCGGAAGGUUAAGUCAGCGGUCAAAUGUCGGUGCUCAACACCGGCCUGCCGUUGAAACUGGUCUUCUUGAGUGAGCGAGAAGUAUGCGGAAUGCGUGGUGUAGCGGUGAAAUGCAUAGAUAUUAGGAGGAACAUCAGGGGCGAAGGCGACUUACUGGACUGUAACUGACACUGAGGCACGAAAGCGUGGGGAGCAAACAGGAUUAGAUACCCGAGUAGUC
rnacentral:rRNA from 1 species